rnacentral:snoRNA from 1 species
UCCAUGGAUGAUGAAGAACUCGUCUCCCACAUCUGCAACGGCCUCGACUCCGAGUACAACCCGGUGGUGACAGCAGUUGCCGCAAGGGUUGAGAAGAUCUCACUCCCUAAGCUCUACUCUCAAUUGCUUAGCUUCGAGA